rnacentral:rRNA from 1 species
UGGAAGUAAAAAAAAUGUAACAAGGUCUCCGUUGGUGAACCAGCGGAGGGAUCAUUACAGAGUUGCAAAACUCCCUAAACCAUUGUGAACGUUACCUAUACCGUUGCUUCGGCGGGCGGCCCCGGGGUUUACCCCCCGGGCGCCCCUGGGCCCCACCGCGGGCGCCCGCCGGAGGUCACCAAACUCUUGAUAAUUUAUGGCCUCUCUGAGUCUUCUGUACUGAAUAAGUCAAAACUUUCAACAACGGAUCUCUUGGUUCUGGCAUCGAUGAAGAACGCAGCGAAAUGCGAUAAGUAAUGUGAAUUGCAGAAUUCAGUGAAUCAUCGAAUCUUUGAACGCACAUUGCGCCCGCCAGCAUUCUGGCGGGCAUGCCUGUUCGAGCGUCAUUUCAACCAUCAAGCCCCCGGGCUUGUGUUGGGGACCUGCGGCUGCCGCAGGCCCUGAAAAGCAGUGGCGGGCUCGCUGUCGCACCGAGCGUAGUAGCAUACAUCUCGCUCUGGUCGCGCCGCGGGUUCCGGCCGUUAAACCACCUUUUAACCCAAGGUUGACCUCGGAUCAGGUAGGAAGACCCGCUGAACUUAAGCAUAUCAAAA